rnacentral:rRNA from 1 species
UACGGAGGGAGCUAGCGUUGUUCGGAAUUACUGGGCGUAAAGCGUACGUAGGCGGUUAUUCAAGUCAGAGGUGAAAGCUCGGGGCUCAACCCCGGAACUGCCUUUGAAACUAGAUAGCUAGAAUCUUGGAGAGGUCAGUGGAAUUCCGAGUGUAGAGGUGAAAUUCGUAGAUAUUCGGAAGAACACCAGUGGCGAAGGCGACUGACUGGACAAGUAUUGACGCUGAGGUACGAAAGCGUGGGAGCAAACAGG